GGCCACACCCAAGGCAUAUGGAAGUUCCUAGGCUAGGGGUCGAAUUAGAACUACAGCUGCUGGCCUAUACCAUAGCCGCUGUAAUGCCAGAUCCGAGCUAGGUCUGUGAUCUAGACCACAGCUCAUGGCAAUGCCAGAUUGCUGACCCACUGAGCGAGGCUAGGGAUAGAACUUGCAUCCUCAUGGAUACUGGUUGGAUUGGUUUCUGCUGCACCAUGAUGGGAAUUCCUAGUGUGUACAUUUUAGACACUUCCCCUUACACAUAUAAUAGUUUUUUACACAAAUUGCUAAUAAUUUGUCAACUGCUAUUAGCUACUCAUCAGUCAAAAUAAAACAUAAACACCCUUAUGUUUAUGUUUUACCAGUAAAUAUCCUUACCAGUAAAUAUCUGUAUUCUAUAUUUCCAGAUUCUUGUUUUGUCAUCAUAUUACAUUAUUUGAAUGAAGCAUGAUAUAUGAAGCCGUAUAUAUAUAUACACAUAUCCAUGUUGAUACUCUAUAAAACUGUAAUGAAUUCUUAUAAAUAAAUAUUUGCAUAUCUGUUAAUUUUGCCCUAGAAAAUAGUCCAAGAGAUGGGAUUUGUGGAUUAGGAUAGCACACAUUUUAGUGCCUUUAAAACACAAGACCAAAGUUUCCGCUGUGGUGCAGUGGGUUAAGAAUUCAACUGCAGUGGCUUCUGUCGCUGUGGAGGUACAGGUUAGAUCCCUGGCCUGGUGCAGUGGGUUAAAGGAUCCAGUGUUGCUGCAGCUGUGAUGUAGCAGCUGCGGCUUAGAUUCAGUCCCUGGCCUGGGAACUUCUGUAUGCCAGAGUUGCAGCCAUAAAAUAAAAUUUUAAAAAAUUAAACAACAACAAAAAUAAGACCAAGUGGUCCUCCAAGAAUGUUAGGUCAAUUGUAAUAAUCUCAAGUGCUCCAAAACACAGCAUUUUGUUUAAUCAUUGAGAAUAUUUGGAAAACGGUAACUCAUUUUUAAAAAUUUGCAAUUAUUUGAUUAAUAUCAAGAUUGAGGAUAACAUCUUCUUGUUUUUAAAUUUUACACAAAUUAAAAUAUUGAUUUAAUUAUUAAAAGUAAUUUAAUCUUCUGUGAUAAUAUCAAUAUUAUGCCUUUGCACCUCAAGUAACUGGCAAAUAUUUACUGGAGUAGGAAAAAAACAUCUGAGAAUUCUGUACCACCUAAAGCGUGGUGGUAUGAAGAAUAUGAAGAACAACAUUAUGGAAAAGCUGGAGACCUGCCAGUUGAUAUUUUAGGAAUGGCAGUGAUCUAAAGAAACACUGGUCUGCACAGUUACUGCAUCAUUUAAUGUCAUACAAUUGGGGUGAACAAUUCUUUAAUUUAAUACAAUACGAUGGGGAUAUGAGUUGGCAAAACUGUCCUAAAAGAAAUUAGAGCAGGUAGAGGAGGGAUGAAAAGACCCAAAGAUAAGCGCUAAGAAUUAAGUUAAUGUGAAAAGUCAUUAUCAUCAAGUGAAAUAAUUAUGGCACUGUUUAGGUAGGUCAAUUUUAGACUCUCAGAUGGAGAACUCAUGAUAUACACAGAUUUCUUUGAUGUUAUUCAGAAAUUCGGGGUGCUUUUUACCAGGCGAGAGUUUAUAGGCAAUUUACUACCCUGAGACUAUUUCUGUGAAUUUUAUUCAAGAUUGUGAUGCUCAUUUUCCUACUGCACCAAAGACUAGCAGUUCUCUAAAAUUACUAAGUGAUCUGUGAUUGCUUGAUGCGCAUGCAAAUCAAGUGUCUUUCUUUUUAUUCAUGUUCAUUGAGUAAGGCACAAAAUUGCUUUUACAAAUGACCUCUGCUUCCAAUGACUUUUUAAAAAACAUAAAAUGAUCAUAAUUUCUUUGAACCAACAUUUAAAGCUAUCUUUACUUUUUAUUAAUUCUACUUUCAAGUAGAUAGGUUUCCUUUAUGAUGUAUAUUUGAUUAUAAAUGUGUUAGUAAUGUGAUAUAUUAUCUAAAUGACUAUGAAUCAGAACAAGUGACAAUAAACAAAUCUAAAUUAGAGCAUGAUUAUGUUAAACAUUAAAAAUGACUGGCUUUUGAAUUCUGUCUCUCCAAUAACGACUAUAUGAUACAUUUAAUUCUUCAAUAGCAGUUUUCUUUGAAUGUAGAUAAUUGCUAAUUCAUUGAACCACUAUCUUUGUAUAAAAUGCAACAUUGUCAAUUUUAAACUAGGAAAAAAAAAAAAAAAAAAACAGGAGACAGAGAACCUGUUUUGGGGAAUUUCCAUGGGCCAGGUAUGUCUGCUAUGUAUCCAGGGAGAAAACCUUGAAAUCACAUCAGUGCAUAUCACAUGUAAAUAUGCAGCUGUUAGUUUUUCAUCUGUAAAAGGAGAAUGCCUCUUUGGGAAUAAGAUGUUAUAAAUUCAAAUUAAUUUAUCCAAUGUUCAAUCACACUUUCACUGUGGUAUCAAUGGAAAGCACUUUGAGAAGCAUUGGGAGUUAUUUUGCUGUAUUUUAUUAGUUUAUCUGUACUCAAACUAUGCUCAACUUUAAAAUCAAAUUUAUCUCAGUGCAUUCUAAAGCUAAAAUUUGGUACAUAAAGUAUUAAAGGCCACAGAACUAUCAAUUGGCCACUCUCAUCAGCUAACAUUUUUCUUUGAGAAUAACACUAUUUUUUCCUAGGGACUGCAAAUGAGAUAAGGCACUAGGUACCAGCACCACCCCAUUCUGUUUUUUGUGCUUAUUUAAAGUAUCUAGAUUUGCCUCCUGUUUCAUUUAAAAUGCAUUGCCACUUAGCUGUUGAGAUAACCUGGAUCAAACUCAAUCAGAUAAGGAAGAUGGAAUUUUUUUAAAGUUUAUAGUGUUUGUUUAUGGUAUUAAGGCACCUUUGCAAUUUUCAAACUGGAUUUGUAAUCUAGGUGCUACAGCCAUAGCCCACCUCAUCAACAGGCUCUCAUCCUUAUUGAGCUUUUUUGGCUGGGAGAGCUGCCAGUUAUCUCCCUUUGCACAGCUGGCAGCUCCCAAUGUAAAAAAGACCCUGUGUUAUUUAGCGAUGGUGGAGCUAGAGAAGGGGGGAGAUCAGGUGUGGGAGAUUCAAAUUUAUGCUGCUUGGCACCAUAUGAUGUGUAAAAUCUAAAGGACCUGCUGGCCUGGUAGACCAGCUAUUUAUUCAGAGAAGUGAUGGAGACCUUCCCGUCCAGGAUGGGAAACAGGCGGCAGAGAAAAGGGGGCAUGAAGGCUCCCCCCUGGCCUUGCUGAGGGAUGUCCUCACAGUUGAAAGGCCAGCAAAAGGGAUUACAGCCCUGAGCCAGGCAAAUGGGGUCUGUGAGCCUCUGCUAUCUCUAACCACAGACCACAAAGAAAAGCUGCCUUGAUAUUCCCUGACAGUGAAUGAGCUGGCACUGCUGGGACUCUGGUCCCGGUGUGGAUUUUUAAAGGAAGAGGAGUGGGUUGAGUCUGGGAAGGAGGGAUAUCUUUAACACUGCUCAACUCAGACUCUUGCCACCAUCUUGGGGUAAGUGGGUUGUGAGGGCAAUCCUUUCUCCUUUUGCUCUCCCCUGUACUCAAUACCUACAAAAUUUUUAGUUUCCAAAGGGAUUUUCAUUUGUUCAUCCAUUUAUUCCUUCCUGAACAUUCAGUGAGUGGCCAAUUUAUCCUAGGUAAAAUACCAAAUAAUAAGAUACAGUUCUACCCUCAAGGAUCUCACAGUCUAGCAGAGGAAACAAACAGAAAGACAAGCAAAAAUAGAGGAGUUCCCUGGUGGCUUAUGUGCUGGGGAUCUAGAUUUGUCACUGCAGAGCUGUACUGACUCCCAGGGUACUACCUUAGGAACCCUGACUAUACUCUUAGAAUCUGUGUUUUAUUUCUUUGUCAACAAUGAUUCAGAGUGAGGUUUUAGCGGCUCCAGGUCAGUGGAGGGAAUUUCCUUGGAACAACCUACAUUGCCCUGACCAUUCCUGAGAAAAUAAUUACUUGACUUGUUUUAUUUUCCACGUUAAUAUUUAAGAGUUUGUAGAAGAGAGCUGAAAUAUGGAAUAUUCAAAAAUAUAAGUCAAUAUAACAAAAUGAUGAAGGACAUUGUUCCCCUGGUUAUAAAGGAAGUGUCCUUGUCAGAGAAGGGUGACUUCUCCUAUGAGAGGGAGUGGGACAAGUUAUGAGUGAGGACUAAAUGGAGGGGAUGGAGAAGAAUGGCCGUGAGGGUGAGGCGUUGCACACAAGAGGACUGAGGGUAUGGUUUGGGCACAAUUUUAGCUCUGUUCACAGAAAUUAAACUUUGGAGAUGGGUGAAAUGUCUCCAGAUGAUAUUUAAGAGGCUGUAUUGAAUGAAGGGCCUUAUAAAGCCUCUGAACUCCCAAAGGAAAAAUCUCAGUAAAGAUAGAUAUGAUUGAUCAAAGUUCUUGGGCUGGUAUCUUGUUAAAUGUGAAUAGUACAGGGAUUAGGCUCCAGGUCUGCCCAGCUGUAUGCAGCUAUGUAUACAUCACUGGGGCUGCAUGGCUCACGAAGAAUGAUGGUUUGGGAAUGAGGACACCUGCGUUGCACACCAAGCUCUAAGAAAGAUAUUUUCUAUUUCUGGGUUUGUACUCUCAUGAGAAGAUGUAUUUUAAAACUUCUAAAGAAUAUGUCAGUUAUAGACAAAGGAAAAAAUGACCCAGUGAGGGCCUUAGGCCAGGGUUUCUGUAGGGUGUAUGCUCUUUAAUUUAAAUCUUUUGAAAUUUUCUCCUUAUAGGCACAGUAUCUGCACAGGAAACACCCAAAUAGAGUCUUUGUCCACCUUCUCUGGAAGUGAGGAAUAGCCAGCUGAUUACCCAUUUCUCAUUAGGAAAUUGAAGCAGAAAGACACUCAAUGGCAGGAGGUUAGAGGACAGCCUCUCCUCCAGGCAUUGGAGAGAGCACAAAACAGGAGAUAUGAGCCUAGUCUGCUUUAAUUUUGUAAUACCAUCCCCAUUAAUUUCCACUAUGACAGUAAAAAUAGUAUUCUUUGUAGAGACUACUAAGCCAG
ensembl:lncRNA